UUCAAUCUUUUUGUAUGCAAAAUGUUAUCUCUAUGUAGAACCUAUUGUGCCAGAUAAAGCCUACACAAAAAACUACAUAUAUGUCAAAAGUAGAGAAUACACUUGGCAAGAGGCUCGAGAAGUGUGUGCCAGUUUGAAUGCUUCCCUUGUAAACCUGGACAGUUGGGAGAUGUUUGUUAGAAUGCGUAGACUUCAAAACAGCUCAAUGUUCUGGAACAACGUGCCAAACGACUUUGCCUGGAUCGGAUUGACCAAUACAGACUCUGGACAUGAAUGGCAGGAUUGCACACCAUUAAAUUUUUCAACAUUUGUUUACUUUAAAGAUUCUGGUAGCGUCACUUUCGAUUCCAACAGACAAUGCUAC